rnacentral:rRNA from 1 species
UACGUAGGGCCCAAGCGUUAUCCGGAAUGAUUGGGCGUAAAGGGUCCGUAGGUGGCGAUGUAAGUCUGCUGUCAAAGAAUGAGGCUUAACCUCAUCAAGGCAGUGGAAACUACAUAGCUAGAGUACGGUCGGGGUAGAAGGAAUUCCUGGUGUAGCGGUGAAAUGCGUAGAGAUCAGGAAGAACACCGGUGGCGAAAGCGUUCUGCUAGACCUGUACUGACACUGAGGGACGAAAGCUAGGGGAGCGAAUGGG